rnacentral:lncRNA from 1 species
AUAGCUAAACUUUCUAGGCACGUUUUCACCGUUUAGGAAAUACCGAGCUGGAACGUUCUGUGUAUGUUGCCUGACUUUACGUGAAAAAGAGGGAAUUACAAUUGUGUUGAACAUUUUUUCACUCAGAAGGAGGUGUAAUGUGGGUUUUACAAAAGCAACCAUGCUGAGGUUUUUGGAAGUUCUCCUCCACCCCACCUUGGGCUAGCAUUCUCUUCCUGCUUCCACAUAUUCCCUCAUCUGGUGAGGAGCUAUAUGUGACAGUAUGUGAGCAAUUCUCCUGAUGACAUCCAGGCUCUCGUGCUGUACUCCAGACUUGGAAUCCUGCAGUGAUUUAGCAUCUUUGUUUCGAAGCUGUUUGGGGAAGAU